UGAGGGAUAUUGGUCAAUGGGCGCAAGCCUGAACCAGCGACGCCGCGUGGGUGAAGAAGGUCUUCGGAUCGUAAAGCCCUUUUCCCACUGAAGAGGAAGGACGGUAGGUGGGGAAGAAGUCUCGGCUAACUACGUGCCAGCAGCCGCGGUAAAACGUAGGAGACAAGCGUUAUCCGGAGUUACUGGGCGUAAAGGGCGUGCAGGUGGCGUCUUAAGUCAGUUGUGAAAGCGCCUGGCUUAACCGGGCGAGGCCAAUGGAGACUGAGAGGCUGGAGGACGGCGGAGGGGUGUGGAAUUCCGGGUGUAGUGGUGAAAUGCGUAGAGAUCCGGAGGAACACCAGAGGCGAAGGCGGCACUCUAAGCCGUACCUGACACUGAGACGCGACAGCACGGGGAGCAAA
rnacentral:rRNA from 1 species